rnacentral:rRNA from 1 species
GACGAACGCUGGCGGCGUGCCUAAUACAUGCAAGUAGAACGCUGAAGGAGGAGCUUGCUUCUCCGGAUGAGUUGCGAACGGGUGAGUAACGCGUAGGUAACCUGCCUGGUAGCGGGGGAUAACUAUUGGAAACGAUAGCUAAUACCGCAUAACAGUAGAUGUUGCAUGACAUUUGCUUAAAAGGUGCAAUUGCAUCACUACCAGAUGGACCUUCGUUGUAUUAGCUAGUUGGUGUGGUAACGGCUCACCAAGGCGACGAUACAUAGCCGACCUGAGAGGGUGAUCGGCAAAAAUGGGAAUGAGAAACGGCCCAGAAUGAUACGGGAGGCAGCAGUAGGGAAUCUUCGGCAAUGGACGGAAGUCUGAACGAGAAACGCCGCGGGAGUGAAGAAGGUUUUCGGAUCGUAAAGCUCUGUUGUAAGAGAAGAACGAGUGUGAGAGUGGAAAGUUCACACUGUGACGGUAACUUAACAGAAAGGGACGGCUAACUACGUG